rnacentral:lncRNA from 1 species
GCUGUUCGGGAAACCGAAACCGCUCGAUUUUGGGGUAAAGCUCAAGGCCUCCCUUGCCGGCUCCGGGACGGGGCAGGAUGGAGAUCUCCCGGCCGCACCCCCCGCCCCCGGCCCGGCACCCCUGGAAGGCGGUGGCGGCCGCGACCCUGGGGGUGGCCGCGGUGGUGGUGGCGGUGACCGUGCCCACCGUGCUGUGCCGCUCGGCCGGGGGCUGCGCCGGGGCCGGGGGUGCCUCGGAGGGGCUGGCACGGCUGGAGGAGGAGAACAAGGAGCUCAGGACAGAGGUUUCCCGGCAGCAGGAGCAGCUGGAGCAGGAGCAGAGCCGCAGGGAGGAGCUCCAGCAGCAGAACCAGGCCCUGCAGGAGCAGCUCCAGGACACGAGGAGCCAGCAGACCUCUGGGAACGGGGACAAGCCCUCUGGCCUCCUGCCUUUCACCUUUUUCCUCCUCCUCCUUGGGUUGCUCCUCCGACAGUGACCCGGAGCAGCGGGAACGGGGGUCCGGUGAUUCCCUGUCCCCCGGUGUGGGGGGAGGAGGGACCGUCCCCACGCAGCCUGGUGGGGUCUGGGGGUGGGACUGGGCUCAGGGAGCGCCCUCAGCCCCAUCCCCUGCUCAGCCCCAUCCCCUGCUCAGCCCCGUCCCCUGCUCAGCCCCGUCCCCUGCUCAGCCCCGUCCCCUGCUCAGCCCGGCCCUGGCACCACCGGCUCUGGCCAAAUCCCCCGUGGGGACAUCCCGGGGUGAUGAUUCCUGUCCAACCAGCGGGGGCUGCUCCCAGGGCGAGGGAGGGGACAGGACACGGGCUGGAGGGGACAGAGACAUGCCCUGAGCCGAGGAUCCACGGUUACUCCACAGUUUAGCACUUUUUAACCGCCCUCCAAUAAAACCUGUGCAAAUACAGCGUUUUGUUGCUGC